AUAUUGCACAAUGGGGGGAACCCUGAUGCAGCGACGCCGCGUGAGUGAAGAAGUAUUUCGGUAUGUAAAGCUCUAUCAGUAGGGAAGAAAAUGACGGUACCUGAAUAAGAAGCCCCGGCUAACUACGUGCCAGCAGCCGCGGUACAACGUAGGGGGCAAGCGUUAUCCGGAUUUACUGGGUGUAAAGGGAGCGUAGACGGUUAUGCAAGUCUGGAGUGAAAGCCCGGGGCUCAACCCCGGGACUGCUUUGGAAACUGUAGAACUGGAGUGCAGGAGAGGCAGGCGGAAUUCCUAGUGUAGCGGUGAAAUGCGUAGAUAUUAGGAGGAACACCAGUGGCGAAGGCGGCCUGCUGGACUGUAACUGACGUUGAGGCUCGAAGGCGUGGGGAGCAAACAGG
rnacentral:rRNA from 1 species